rnacentral:rRNA from 1 species
CGAAAGCCUGACGGAGCAAUACCGCGUGAGGGAGGAAGGCCUUUGGGUUGUAAACCUCUUUUCUCAGGGAAGAAGACCUGACGGUACCUGAGGAAUAAGCAUCGGCUAACUCCGUGCCAGCAGCCGCGGUAAUACGGAGGAUGCAAGCGUUAUCCGGAAUUAUUGGGCGUAAAGCGUCCGCAGGUGGUCUUUCAAGUCUGCUGUCAAAGACCAGAGCUUAACUCUGGGCAGGCGGUGGAAACUGAGAGACUAGAGUUCGGUAGGGGUAGCGGGAAUUCCCAGUGUAGCGGUGAAAUGCGUAGAUAUUGGGAAGAACAUCGGUGGCGAAGGCGCGCUACUGGACCGAAACUGACACUCAGGGACGAAAGCUAGGGUAGCGAAAGGGAUUAGAUACCCCUGUAGUCCUAGCUGUAAACGAUG